rnacentral:rRNA from 1 species
AGGACGAACGCUGGCGGCGUGCUUAACACAUGCAAGUCGAACAGUAAGGCCCUUCGGGGUACACGAGUGGCGAACGGGUGAGUAACACGUGGGUGAUCUGCCCUGCACUUCGGGAUAAGCCUGGGAAACUGGGUCUAAUACCGGAUAGGACUCCUGGCUUCAUGGUUGGGGGUGUAAAAGCUUUUGCGGUGUGGGAUGGGCCCGCGGCCUAUCAGCUUGUUGGUGGGGUAAUGGCCUACCAAGGCGACGACGGGUAGCCGGCCUGAGAGGGUGACCGGCCACACUGGGACUGAGAUACGGCCCAGACUCCUACGGGAGGCAGCAGUGGGGAAUAUUGCACAAUGGGCGCAAGCCUGAUGCAGCGACGCCGCGUGAGGGAUGACGGCCUUCGGGUUGUAAACCUCUUUCAAUAGGGACGAAGCGCAAGUGACGGUACCUAUAGAAGAAGGACCGGCCAACUACGUG